AAUUGGAAAAAAGAAGAUGAAAAUACCAGAGGGAAAAUUGUGAAUACUAACAUAAAUAGAUCUCUCUUAUCUUAUAAUUCAAACAUACAUCAAUAUACAAUGAAAUUCCAUUCCCAAGAGACUACAAUUGCUAGUGUUUGGGUAUAGCUCUGGGUCUUUAUAGCUAACAUUGUGUUUUUUAAAACUUAAAUCUAGGUCUAAACUCAGCCCUGGAUUUGAAGACAGAACUGGUUCAAAUUCUGGCUUCCUUACUAAUUGUUAGAUCACGUUGGACAAUUAAUUUCCUCUUGGAGACUCAGUUUCUUCAUCUGUAAAAUGAGAGUGACGAUACUUAUUUCUUAAAAUUGUGGCAAAGAUGAAAAUUAAUGGAAAUAAAGCUGGCAUACAGCGAAUGCCUGCAAGGAGCUUAUUUUGGGGUUGUUACUGUUAGGAACUCCUCACCUGGCUAACUGCUACUCUUCCCGAUCCGGGUCAGAUGCCACUCCUUCGUAGCCUCCCCUGCUUGGCUCCUCCCACACUACUCGCUCCCUCUGUCCUGCGGCUUGUCCUGCAUCUGUCUUUGUGUUAUAGUGCCAGACAAAGCUGCUAUACCAACCUUCACUGGUCCAACAGAGAGCGUGACCUAGUGUGGGUGUCUAGAAUUAUGGAGAAAGGAUUGGAUAAGAAUUCAUUGAAGGAAUGAAUGAAUUUCAGGGAGAUUACGUGAAUGGAUGAGUGAGUGAGUAUCACCAGGUGUCACCAGCUAGACCAAUCCUCAUUUUCCUAGACCGGGAGAGAAUGCCCCCCUUCCGGCUGUACCAGGUGGUGGGCGGAGUUCUGGCGGCGCCCUGGGGAGAGGCCCCGCCCCUCACCGCGGCGCGUCGGGAGGCGGAGCCCUUCAAGGCCUCAAGGAUGACAGUUCCUGCAGGCAGCCACUGCAGCAGGUCUGUGGGAUCUGAGCGGGUCCUGCCAGCCCCAGGGCUAAAAGGAAAACACAAGAAAAUGAAGCACCUUUUACCUAGAAGAAUGAAGACCACCUAAAUCGACAGCGUACCUGUCUCCUAGAUCCAAGCCCAGAAGAAUCUGUCCUAAAAGUCUUUCUUUAAGGGCCUCUGUACAAGGGGAUGAUUUGAACCACAGCAACUUUACCCCUAAAAGUGCAGCUGGGGCAACUCAACCAGGUCUGAGCAUCUGAAAAGGGACAUCUGUGAGAGAAGUUCAUCAUCGCACUGCCCCAGACAACUCUAAACAGAGCUGCCACAUCCUGGAGACCUCAGAAGCAAGGUGCUCCCUCUGGAGUUAUGAAUAAUUCAAGACCACAGCUACACAGAGCUGCAGUCUGUGAGGGAUGACUGUGAAGUACAGUCCAUACACACCCCCUCCUGCUGCCACCCUUUCUAGAACCAGAGGUGGGGGAAACUGGCUUCUCUCCUGCCCCCCGGCCAUCCUGGGAAUAAGGUAGUUCCAGAAGCUUUGCAAAUCCAUCCUGGAAUAAGGUAGUUCCUAGAGCUUCCUUCUAAUGGUAAGGAAGUCAUGGAGAUAAUAAAAUCAAAGAUGACCUUACCUGUGACAGUGUUCCCCCUUCAGAUCCUUCACUGUGACAGAGCAUAACUGGGUAAAUUUCUCCUUUCAUUUGAUCCACGACUUGUGGCCUUUUUUGUAACAUAAGUGCCUCUGAGCAUCUUUCCCCUCUCUGCUGGAAAGUGUCAAAUCACCCAGCAAAAUGGUAUGAGGCUGGGAUGUGGAGCCACACAUGUAUGACUCAAAAUGCACACACAUAACACACAGAUUACAACAGUACUUACCUCCAUGGGUUUACUGAGAAUAAUAAAUGCAGAACCUCCUACACAGUAAGCAUCCAAUGUUAUUAAUUAUGAAAAUAUAAAAAGAAAAAUUUUGCAUAUAUUUUUGAAGGUUCAUGAUUUCUAGGAUAUCCUAGGGUUAAGAAUCCUUAGCCUGGUUCUCCUGGUCAGGAAGACAACAGCUCUCACCAAUAUCCACAUUUUCUCUCUGAACUCCAUUAGCAUUUACUGAGUACCUGCUGUGUAUCGGCUGUUCUGACCCAUAUGAGCAUCUUGGUGACCAGUUGUUAACACACCAGAGUGUAAGGAUCAUUCCCAUUCCACUGAUGAGGGGAGAUAAGUUACCCAAGGCCUCAUGGUGGAGGAGCUGCUGUUAAAACCGGCCCUCUUAUUUAUUUUUUUGGUUAGACAAAAUACCUUCAUUUUGUUUAUUUAUUUAUUUAUUUUUAUUUAAUUUUUUUUG